rnacentral:tRNA from 1 species
GACCCCAUCGUCUAGUCUGGUCUAGGACAUCGGGUUCUCAUCCCGAAAACACCAGUUCAAAUCUGGUUGGGGUCG